rnacentral:rRNA from 1 species
GGGCCCGCACAAGUGGUGGAGUAUGUGGUUUAAUUCGAUGCAACGCGAAGAACCUUACCAGGGUUUGACAUCCUGCGAAUCUCUUGGAAACAGGAGAGUGCCUUCGGGAACGCAGUGACAGGUGGUGCAUGGCUGUCGUCAGCUCGUGUCGGAGAUGUUGGGUUAAGUCCCGCAACGAGCGCAACCCACGUCUUUAGUUGCCAGCAUUUAGUUGGGCACUCUAGAGAGACUGCCGGUGAUAAACCGGAGGAAGGUGUGGAUGACGUCAAGUCAUCAUGCCCCUUACAUCCUGGGCUACACACGUACUACAAUGCUACGGACAAAGGGCUGCAAGUUCGCGAGGACAAGAAA